rnacentral:ncRNA from 1 species
GUAAUAGCGUUGAAAUAGAUAAGUAAAAUCUUAAAAAAUAGAGAUCUGGGAUGGUGGAAGCCAGAACUAAGAUUUGAAGCUACUAUGGAGCUAAUCGUUAGUCCGCGUUAAGGAUAUCGAGUGCAGUAUAUUAUACUGAACUAAGGUGGUACCACGGAUAUAAUUUCGUCCUUAGA